rnacentral:tRNA from 1 species
GGCAUGGUAGCUCAGACGGUAGAGCAGUUGGACGGUAUCCCUAUGUUGCAAGUUCGAACCUCGUCUGUGUCA